rnacentral:tRNA from 1 species
GUGAAUAUAGUUUAUUAAAAUCCUAGACUGUGACUCUAGAGAUGAAAGUUAACCACUUUCUAUUCACC